GGUAUUUUGACCGUGCAAAGGUAGCAUAAUCAUUAGUUUUUUAAUUGAAAGCUGGAAUGAAAGGCUGGAUGAGAAAAUAACUGUCUCUAUAUAAUUUAUUUAUAAUUUUAUUUUUAAGUUAAAAAGCUUAAAUUUAAUUAGAAGACGAGAAGACCCUAUAGAGUUUUAUUAAUUUAUUUGAAAAAAAUUUUUAGUAUUAAGUAUUUUUAUUGAAGAAAUUAAUUUUGUUGGGGUGAUUGAAAAAUUUAUUGAACUUUUUUUAAAAUUUUUACAUUUAUUUAUGAGUUUUUGAUCCUUAUUUUAAGAUUAAAAGAUUAAAUUACCUUAGGGAUAACAGCGUAAUUUUUUUUAAGAGUUCUAAUCAAAAAGAAAGAUUGCGACCUCGAUGUUGGAUUAAAAUAAAAUUUUGGUGUAGAAGCUAAAA
rnacentral:rRNA from 1 species